CCGGGGCAGAGGUCGACUUCUUUUCCGGGGACCUCCUCUGAAGCUGGUGAAGCAAGCCGUGCGUGGGAGCUGCUUGGCUUUCAUUCCGCACCUCUCGGUGCCUGUGUGUGACAAGUCCUUCAGCGCGGGGCGGGGGGCCGAAAUGGGUGCAUCAGCAGGAGCCAGAUCAGAAGUGGAGCAGCCAGGAUUCGAACCAGCACUCACACGGGAUGUUGAUGCUGCAGGCUGCAGCUUAACCUGCUGUGCUACAAGGUUGGCCCCUCAGUUCAGUCUUAAAGGAUGUGGAAAUUGAAGGACAGAAAGGUGAAGAGAUUGGCCCAAGAUCUCGCAGCUAAUGAGGAGGGAUUGGACGUGAGAGCCAGAGCAUAUACUCCAUGAGGUCAGCAGCAGUGUUGUCUGGUUUGUGGCUGAACCCCAACCAUGUAAACCAGUGCCUGGCACACAAUACUCGGUGUCCUGACGGUGCCUACUCAUUGCACAGAUUCUGAGGAUUCGAUUUUCUGCUGCAGCUUUAUCUCAGAUAUUUCUGACUGUGUUGGAACAAGGAAACCAGCGCUGAAGUUGAACUACAGGCGUUCAGUGACAAUCACUCAGAAAGACUUCUCUAGGGUGCUUGAUGCAGUCCAUGUGUGCUUCCAGCUCCAUUGCUACAGGGCAAGACUCAGAAUUUAAUGGAAACCAUUGCACUGUUUGACGGUUGGAGCUCAUCUGACAUGUUUGCUUUGAGAAGCCUCAGCCCCCAGCAUCGAGUGGUCACCUACAGCACGUUCAGUCGCCCUGACAGCACCGGAGAGGAAUGCAGAGGUCGGAGCAAGAUGUGGAAUCCGUACUGUGCACGUACACGGAAGCCUCCAAAGUUUCAGACAACAAUGGAAUGAAAAGGCAAGUUUAUUUGGGUACGUAAACUUUUGAAAUCAAUGCAUUAUUUUUUUCAUAAUAUAAUUCAUGAGAAACUUUUAAAGACUCCUUCUAUGACUUUUACAUUUUUUGCACUAAAAUAAUCUUACCUUUUCUUUUUUUUUUUUUAAAAAAAAAGUGUAUUUAUAUAUUUGAAAGGCAGAGUUACAGAGAAUGAGGGAGAGAUAAAUAGAAAAAGAGAGCGAGAGAGCGAGAGAGUGAGUUUCCAUCCCCUGGUUCACUACCCAAAUGUCUACAACAACCAGAGCUAUACCAGAUUGAAGCCAGGAGCCCAGAACUCCAUCUAGGUCUCCCAUGUGGGUGGCAGAAGCCCGCAUACUUGGGCCAUCUUCCUCUACUUUUCCAGACACAUUGGCAGGGGGCUGGAUUGGAUGGAGAGCAAUCAGGGCUUGAACUGGUGCUCACAUAGGAUGCUAGUGGAGGCCCAACCCACUGUGCCACAACACUGGCCCCCUGAAUUUACCUUUUCAUUCUAUUUUUCCAUGAACUCUGAUUAUCCUUGGGAAAGGAGGCCCAGAGAAAAGAGUUCAGGAUGUAGGUAGGUGCAAAAUGACUGUACAAUCCAUUUCCAUGCGUUAAACAAUUUCUUUCCAUACAUUAAGUACUUAUAAGCACCCAAAUACCUCUCCCGGCUGCAAGGUGUUCCCAGAGCAGUUUUGGUCUCCUGGCAUGUACUGUCAGGAAGAUCCUGUGGGCUCAUUUCUGUGAACUGUCCAACUUAUCUACAGCCGUAUCUCAAAUCUCACCUGUGCCGCCGCUGGACCUCUUCCCUUCGCUUUCCUUCUGCUGCUGGCUUUAGAGCUGAAUUGAAUUUGUUCAUCAGCAGAGGUCUUUCCAUCACUGAAUUCCUUAGGAAGGUCCAACACUGGGUGUUCAUUCCUCUGAUGAGCAGAUUUUGAGGAUCAACUGGAUGUGACCUGCAGGUGCUUUGCAGCCCUGGAUCCUGGCUGCAAGGGAGUUGCCGUGCAUGGUGCCCCUGGCUCUGUCUCAGGAUGCAGUGCAAUUCUGAGAAAGGCAGCGGAAGCAGGGAGCCAUCUUGUUUUUCAAAAUGAUAUCUCAGUUUUACUUAGUUUGGCCAGAGUAAGAACAGUAAGCACACCACUGGGAUGCCUUUUGGAAGGACAAACGCUACCUUUAAGGACUCAGGCAGUGGUCUGUGUUGAGAGAGAUUUGUGGCACCUUGGGA